rnacentral:tRNA from 1 species
CAAGAAAUAGUUUAUUUAAAAUAUUAAUUUUGGGAGUUAGUGAAAAAGAAAUUUCUUUUUUCUUGA